CCUACGGGAGGCAGCAGUGAGGCAUAUUGGUCAAUGGGCGCGAGCCUGAACCAGCCAAGUAGCGUGAAGGAUGAAUGCCCUACGGGUUGUAAACUUCUUUUAUAAAGGAAUAAAGUGAGGCACGUGUGCCUUUUUGUAUGUACUUUAUGAAUAAGGAUCGGCUAACUACGUGCCAGCAGCCGCGGUAAUACGGAGGAUCCGAGCGUUAGCCGGAUUUAUUGGGUUUAAAGGGAGCGUAGAUGGGUUUUUAAGUCAGUUGUGAAAGUUUGCGGCUCAACCGUAAAAUUGCAAUUGAUACUGGCAGCCUUGAGUACAGUUGAGGUAAGCGGAAUUCGUGGUGGAGCGGUGAAAUGCUUAGAUAUCACGAAGAACUCCGAUUGCGAAGGCAGCUUACUAAACUGCCACUGACAUUGAUGCUCGAAAGUGUGGGUAUCAAACAGGAUUAGAUACCCCUGUAGUC
rnacentral:rRNA from 1 species